rfam:Salmo salar isolate Sally breed double haploid chromosome ssa09, whole genome shotgun sequence.
UGCACACAUGAAUGUAUGUCGCUUUGGAUAAAAGUGUCUGCUAAAUGGCAUAUA